rnacentral:rRNA from 1 species
GACGAACGCUGGCGGCGUGCUUAACACAUGCAAGUCGAGCGGUAAGGCCCUUUCGGGGGUACACGAGCGGCGAACGGGUGAGUAACACGUGGGUGACCUGCCCUCAGCUCUGGGAUAAGCCUGGGGAAACUGGGUCUAAUACCGGAUAUGACUCCAUGACGCAUGUUGGUGGGGUGGAAAGCCUUGUGCGGCUGAGGAUGGGCCCGCGGCCUAUCAGCUUGUUGGUGGGGUGANGGCCUACCAAGGCGACGACGGGUA